rnacentral:rRNA from 1 species
UACGUAGGGGGCAAGCGUUGUCCGGAUUUAUUGGGCGUAAAGAGCGUGUAGGCGGCCAGGUAGGUCAGCUGUGAAAACCCGCGGCUCAACCGUGUGGUCUGCAGUCGAUACGGGCAGACUAGAGUUCGGCAGGGGAGACUGGAAUUCCUGGUGUAGCGGUGAAAUGCGCAGAUAUCAGGAGGAACACCGGUGGCGAAGGCGGGUCUCUGGGCCGAUACUGACGCUGAGGAGCGAAAGCGUGGGGAGCGAACAGG